rnacentral:ncRNA from 1 species
GAAAGUCAGAGGUUCGAAGACAAUCAGAUACUGUCAUAAUUCCGACCAUAAACGAUGCCGGCUAGCGAUUUGGCGGCAUCAAUCCCAUGACCCGCCAGGCAGCUUAUUUUCAUGGUGGAAAGCAACGAAAAUUAUUAGGG